AGAUCUUUCAAAGACCUUUGAAAAGGUGGAGUGAGAUCAUUCCUUGAAGGCACCUUCCCAGAAGAGUAACAACCAGAGCCUGCAGUUCCAGGGCAAGGCUGUUUGAGAAGUGCCGAGGGGAGAAAAAGGCUACUUGACUGCCUCUGCCAUCAGACGAUGACACACCACUUACUGCAGCUCCACAGCCAGCGUCCUGGCUGACAGACCUCUGGUAUCGUGCAGGAGGAGAGGAAGACCACCUCUUGAACAUGUGUAACCAACCCUGUGUCAAGCCAGAGAUGAAGUCCCUUCACCUAAGUCACCAGCAGAAGGAGGAGCAGUGGAUUCCACACAGGCUGUUAACAGCACCACACUCUAACAAGGUACUGAUGGAGGCCCUGAAAAUAAGUACCCACAGAAAUAGCCAUUAGAACUUUUCUGCUGAUUAGAUCUUAACACUGCCCUGAGGGCAAAGGGCAGUCCACAUGUAUUUAAUGUUAACAUUAAUUUUGGCCUUUAAAGGUCCCUUCUAACCCAAAGCAUUCUACACUUCUGUGAUUAAUUUAUCUGAGGAUAGUUUUUAAUCUAAUGAAUGCCUCAGUUUUGUUCCCCUUGGUUAGUGUUAUAAUACUAAGUAGCUUUUCUUGUACAAUCCAUAAGUAUCUUUGCUUCUUGGAAAUCUGACUGCGCUCAGAGCUUCCUUCUUUAGCCUCCUCUGUGCAUUUGAAUUAUUAGUCUUUGGUGGGGAAAAAACCAAACAGCUUUAAAAAAAUGCUGACACAGUGCAAACACAGUAUUUUUACAACGGCAACAGUAAGAUUUCCACUACGGCCUUUAACGCAGUGUGUUCCUUUCUUCACUGUGCGGCUCUCUUUUAAGGCAAAAAAUUCUCCUUUCACUGGGGUUACCCCCAGGCAAGGCCAGGUUGCCGAAACCACCGCUAAGGAGCGGAUCUUUGAACUGCAGGGCUAAGGAGGGUGGGGCUGGAGAGCUCCAUCAUCCUCCCCACUGAGCAGACUCUUCAGGAAAGCUGUGAUCCCCCUGGCACAACUGACCUGGCAGGUUGGUGCAAGCACAGAGCCCACAGAAAACACUCCUAGGAGUAUCUGCUCUAUUUCUUCAUCAGUAUAAUAACCAACCAGAGCUUUCAAUUUCAACUGCUGAUAACAUCUUACCUUUUAUCUUCAUACUUUCUUGUAUUGUAGGAGAAUCCUUUCCCCUUCCCUCCACGUCAAGCCUAAAGCUAUGUAAAGGUGAUAAAAGAGAGGAAGGCAAAGCAAAAAGAAACAAGAAUAUAGCCAACCUUUUUAAUUAGAGUAUAUUGUACUUCCAAACUGGAUACACUAGAAAUUGGCAAUGCAACGUAAGAUGCAAAGGAAUAUACCAGUUACUGUCAAAAUGACCCUGUACAGCCUUAUAAUGCAAAAAGCUUUAUACAAUACAAAGUUUUAUUAAUGUACACAAACCUUGACAGAUGAGAUCUGAACAAAAUACAGCACAUAAAAAAAAGAAAAACAAAACAAAAGAGAGAGGGAGAGAGAAGGAAGAAAAAAGUGCUGAGAGUUGUAACUGAAUUACUGAAUGGAGAAAGACGCCAGCUUAGUUAAUCGAUGCAUAGUGAGAACCAGUAUGACAUCACCUCCAUGGUGGGGGGAAUCAUCAGAGCUGUUGGUCACCGGUGGCUGGGGAGCCUCUGCAGAACAUUCCUUUCUUUAGCCUUGAACUGCAAGCCAAUGGUUUCAAUGUGCACAAGCUCUGAUAAACACUGUGGGCUUCCUCCUUAAAAAAAUAACCCCUCCUAACACACCUUUCCUUACAGAGAGUACUUCUGUAACCUGCCAGGAAGGAUUUGUUUGCCCUUUCCAAAGUGCUACACCAAUUGCCAGGUACAGCAACCAUUCCUCUGCCACACACUGGUACGGUGGAACCUUGUCCAACAUGUGGUGUUCACGUGCUAGCAGCUCCUUCUUGGACAUUCCAGCCCUAUUUAAACUGUCAUUUGGUUUAGAGCAAGUGUCCCAUUAACAAUCCUACUGCUUCCUCCCAGACAGCUGUGCUUUACCUACUGGUUUGCAAAGUAUGAUUUGGAAGUGUUUGGUCAUCUAUAGUGUGGCCAGAGACAUGCAUUAAGUGUGUUUUAAGGAAGUGGAGUAGCUCCUGGAUGUGUUUUUCACGCUGCUAUUUUUUUCCUACCUUGUCUGUACUCCAGAGGAGUGUGUUACUAGGAGUUCUGAUGGAGUAAAGCAUGGCAAACAGGGCCCUGAGUUAUCUAGGUCAUCUGCAGCGGUUGGUAGGUGCUUGGGAACCAGAUGGCUUUUCUGGACUGCGUAGACAGACAGAGCUGGUGCAUGCUCCUUCGAACCAACGCUGUCUGCUGGAAUGUAAAUGAAAUGUUGGGCCUUCUCUGGCCUCUAGGCAAUAACCCCACUGGCAACCUGCUACCAGUCUGGGUGUCUUCCCCCUGUAAAUAGCUUCCAGUUUGUUAACAGGAGAGCACAGAUGUCCUCCCUGCACAGGAAGAGUUUGGUCCUGACAGUGGAGAACAUUUGACCAUCUCAGUGCAAAGCAAAUGUAGCAUCUUGCAAUAGGCUAAGUGAUGCAAGUUUUGCAUCAGAAGGAGUAUUUCUACACAAGCUUCUUUUAAACCUUAACAAAGAUUGAGUUGUGUUUCUAGUUGUGCCUAUGGCUAAGAGCCCUUGCGGACCAGAAAUGUCUUCCUGAACUGGGGCAUUGCUUCCAUGCUGCCAUGAACACAAGGGGUUGACUCCAACUGGGCUGUCAAGUCCUCCCCAUCCCACAACAACCCGCAGAAGAAACUCCUUCAGGACAGCAGGUGAAGCCCAUCAGAAUUUCCUUGUGUGUGUGCAAUAAAUCUAUGAGCUUCAAAUCCCAAACACCAGGAACAAGCAGAAGUGAGAGUUCUCUUAGAAGAACUGCCGUGAACCAGUGAGUGACGAAGUCGCAGGCUGUGCAGCAAAUGGAGAACAUCCACUGCUCCUUGUCCGCGUGCAGGGACAUGUGGCUGACAAACUGAGCGUUCAUCUCCGUCUCAAACCCACACACGUGGCAGCUGCAGGCGGGAGGGGAUUCAAGAGAUUCUAUCACUUCACCAUCGUUCUUCACCCAGUUGCCUUCUGUCACCUGCAUCAGGUCCCAGGAAGUUGCCAGACAGCCAUAUGCUGUCCUGAAUUCACUUGCCAGCAGAAGACAAGGCACAGCAGAUAAGCUUCUGGAAACUCUUAACUCCUCGGUCCGAGGGCACUCCUGUGUCACACCCUUGGAAAAAGAAGAGGCUGAGGCUGCACAGAAAUGAAAACCAACAGGCCCUGAGGUGUCGCAUGAAACUGGAGGCACAGAAACUGACACCAGCGAAGAAGAAGAGGCAAGCAAGACUAAAUGCUCAUUUAAACCAUCAAUAUUCAGUAAGAAUAAAUGCCAAAUUCUCAAAGUCUAUACAUCUAUCUGCUGCUUCCUUCUUAGCCACAAGGCCUGUCAGGGAAGAAAAUUAGAUUGUUUUGACGUAAUUUGGUCUCGACAAAUCUGUGUUGGCUGUUACAACUGGCGUGCACAAUCAGAGAUGUCAAAAGAUUGAUAUCACUGAAAAGGUAGGGCCAUUAAUUGAAGUUCUGAUGAGCCUAACAAGGGUGUCUUAAUAAAGAAAUCACUCAACGGAGCUUGGUUCAGCGCAGCAAGCAGUCGAAACAAAAAAUGCAGCCCAUAUUUGCCAAACUGCUGCAAGAAUUACUUCUACUUCUAGUCUGAAUUUAUGCACAGCGUAUGGAGG